GACGAACGCUGGCGGCGUGCUUAACACAUGCAAGUCGAACGGAAAGGCCCUGCUUUUGUGGGGUGCUCGAGUGGCGAACGGGUGAGUAACACGUGAGUAACCUGCCCUUGACUUUGGGAUAACUUCAGGAAACUGGGGCUAAUACCGGAUAGGAGCUCCUGCUGCAUGGUGGGGGUUGGAAAGUUUCGGCGGUUGGGGAUGGACUCGCGGCUUAUCAGCUUGUUGGUGGGGUAGUGGCUUACCAAGGCUUUGACGGGUAGCCGGCCUGAGAGGGUGACCGGCCACAUUGGGACUGAGAUACGGCCCAGACUCCUACGGGAGGCAGCAGUGGGGAACAUUGCACAAUGGGCGGAAGCCUGAUGCAGCAACGCCGCGUGCGGGAUGACAGCCUUCGGGUUGUAAACCGCUUUCGCCUGUGACGAAGCGUGAGUGACGGUAAUGGGUAAAGAAGCACCGGCUAACUACGUG
rnacentral:rRNA from 1 species